rnacentral:rRNA from 1 species
UCCCAGCGGUCCAAGUCGCAACCACAAUUAUUGGGUCUAAAACAUCCGUAGCUUGCUAGAUAAGUCUCUUGUGAAAUCCGGCCUCUUAAGGGUCGAAGAGCAAGAGAUACUGUUUGGCUAGAGACCGGGAGAGGUAAGAAGUACGGUCGGGGUACCGGUAAAAUGGGUUGAUCCUGUCUGGACUAACAACAGCGAAGGCAUCUUACCAGCACGGAUCUGACAGUAAGGGAUGAAGGCUAGGGGCGCAAAAGGG